GUGGGGAAUAUUGGACAAUGGGGGGAACCCUGAUCCAGCCAUGCCGCGUGUGUGAAGAAGGCCUUUUGGUUGUAAAGCACUUUAAGCGAGGAGGAGGCUACCGAGAUUAAUACUCUUGGAUAGUGGACGUUACUCGCAGAAUAAGCACCGGCUAACUCUGUGCCAGCAGCCGCGGUAAUACAGAGGGUGCAAGCGUUAAUCGGAUUUACUGGGCGUAAAGCGCGCGUAGGUGGCCAAUUAAGUCAAAUGUGAAAUCCCCGAGCUUAACUUGGGAAUUGCAUUCGAUACUGGUUGGCUAGAGUAUGGGAGAGGAUGGUAGAAUUCCAGGUGUAGCGGUGAAAUGCGUAGAGAUCUGGAGGAAUACCGAUGGCGAAGGCAGCCAUCUGGCCUAAUACUGACACUGAGGUGCGAAAGCAUGGGGAGCAAACAGGAUUAGAUACCCCUGUAGUCC
rnacentral:rRNA from 1 species